rnacentral:rRNA from 1 species
GCUCAGGGUGAACGCUGGCGGUAUGCCUAAGACAUGCAAGUCGAACGGGCUGUUUAUGCAGCCAGUGGCGGACGGGUGAGUAACACGUAGGUGACCUACCCCAAAGUCUGGGACAACUAGGAGAAAUCUUAGCUAAUCCUGGAUGUGGACAUCUACUUUGGUGGAUGUUUAAAGCUUCGGCGCUUUGGGAUGGGCCUGCGGCGCAUCAGGUAGUUGGUGGGGUAAUGGCCUACCAAGCCGACGACGCGUAGCUGGUCUGAGAGGACGAUCAGCCACAGGGGUACUGAGACACGGACCCCACUCCUACGGGAGGCAGCAGUUAGGAAUCUUCCGCAAUGGGCGAAAGCCUGACGGAGCGAUACCGCUUGAAGGACGAAGCCCUUCGGGGUGUAAACUUCUGAACUCGGGACGAUAAUGACGGUACCGAGGUAAUAGCACCGGCUAACUCCGUGCCAGCAGCCGCGGUAAUACGGAGGGUGCGAGCGUUACCCGGAUUUACUGGGUGUAAAGGGCGUGUAGGCGGUCUCUCAAGUCCGAUGCUAAAGACCGAAGCUCAACUUCGGGGGUGCGUUGGAUACUGUGAGGCUAGACGGUCGGAGAGGGUAGCGGAAUUUCCGGAGUAGCGGUGAAAUGCGCAGAUACCGGAAGGAACGCCGAUAGCGAAAGCAGCUACCUGGACGAUUUGUGACGCUGAGGCGCGAAAGCGUGGGGAGCAAACCGGAUUAGAUACCCGGGUAGUCCACGCCCUAAACGAUGAGUGCUGGGUGUCCGACAUCUGUUGGGUGCCGUAGCUAACGCGUUAAGCACUCCACCUGGGAAGUACGGUCGCAAGACUG